UACGUAGGGGGCUAGCGUUGUCCGGAUUUAUUGGGCGUAAAGAGCGUGUAGGCGGCCAGGUAGGUCUGGUGUGAAAACUCGAGGCUUAACCUUGAGAUGUCAUCGGAAACCAUUUGGCUAGAGUCCGGAAGAGGAAAGUGGAAUUCCUGGUGUAGCGGUGAAAUGCGUAGAUAUCAAGUGGAACACCAGUGGCGAAGGCGAGUCCCUGGACAAUACCUGACACUGAGGCACGAAAGCUAGGGGAGCAAACAGG
rnacentral:rRNA from 1 species